rnacentral:rRNA from 1 species
AUUGAACGCUGGCGGCAGGCCUAACACAUGCAAGUAGAACGAGUGGCGGACGGGUGAGUAAUGUCUGGGAAACUGCCUGAUGGAGGGGGAUCACUACUGGAAACGGUAGCUAAUACCGCAUACCAUCGGAUGUGCCCAGAUGGGAUUAUCUGGUAGGUGGGGUAAAGGCUCACCUAGGCGACGAUCGCUAGCUGGUCUGAGAGGGUGACCAGCCACACUGGAACUGUGACACGGUCCGGACUCCUACGGGAGGCAGAAGUGGGGAAUAGUGCACAAUGGGCGCAAGCCUGAUUCAGCCAUGCCGCGUGUAUGAAGAAGGCCGUCGGGUUGUAAAGUACUUUCAGCGGGGAGGCGUUACCCGCAGAAGAAGCACCGGCUAACUCCGUGCCAGCAGCCGCGGUAAUUC